ACAUACGACCAUAGGGUGUGGAGCCACACGCCGGUGAGUUAGUAGUUGGGUGGGUGACCACCAGCGAAUCCUCACUGUUGUAUGUU
rnacentral:rRNA from 1 species